CACUAGCAGCCAUUUUAGAAAAGUAGAAGGGGGUAGAAGAAGCAUAACCUUUUUCAAUGACGAGAGCCUACAUUGGUUACUGAUUGACAAAAGGUGACGUUCCAGGGCGUCACUACGCAUCUCAGAAGACUGCUAUAUCAUAUUGAUGUGUUUCCGGAGAUUUUAAACACUUCUCCAGGCGUUGUGAGAUCUGAUAAUAUGUGCAGCGUGACCGUGAAAAAGACGACCUGGAAAGCCAUCAAAUCUGUAAUGUUCCUACCAAAAAUACAACUUUGUCACUGUU